UUAGCUCAGCUGGGAGAGCACCUCCCUUACAAGGAGGGGGUCGGCGGUUCGAUCCCGUCAUCACCCACCA
rnacentral:tRNA from 11 species